rnacentral:rRNA from 1 species
CCAGCUCCAAUAGCGUAUANUAAAGUUGUUGCAGUUAAAAAGCUCGUAGUUGAAUUUCUGGUCUCGAGACGCGGCCAGCCCCAAGGGGCCAGUGCUGUCGGAUUGGGACCAUCCUCGAGAAGAACAUAUCUGUCAUUGAGUUGAUGGGUAUGGGACUCUCGUCAUUUACUGUGAGCAAAAUAGAGUGUUCAAAGCAGGCUUACGCCGUUGAAUACAUUAGCAUGGAAUAAUAAGAUAGGACCUUGGUCUAUUUUGUUGGUUAGUUCUCCAAGGUAAUGAUUAAUAGGGACAGUUGGGGGUAUUCGUAUUCAAUUGUCAGAGGUGAAAUUCUUGGAUUUAUGGAAGACGAACUACUGCGAAAGCAUUUACCAAGGAUGUUUUCAUUAAUCAAGAACGAAAGUUAGGGGAUCGAAGAUGAUUAGAUACCAUCGUAGUCGUCAUAGCUGUUUCC